CAGGGAUUGAACCAGCGCCCCCUGCAUUGAAAGCAUGGAGUCUUAACCACUGGACCGCCAGGGACAGUUGACACUCCUAAGUACAAAUUAUGAUUAUAUCCAGCUGCAUCAGUUAGUGAUGUAUGGGAAGUGUUCAGAGAAGUAGACAUUAUCUUCCAGUUAAAUAGUUAAGGAAUGGCCAGAUAUCUAGAUCUAGUUAGAAUUGGUUAGGGAGCAAUGAAAUCACUUUUAAACGGAAGAGGUAGGAGGUUUUAAGCUUUACAGCUAAGGUUUCAACUAGACAAUAAAUGAGUCCUUAUUGAUUGUAGGAAUUAGCUUGUAAAAUACCACAGUUAAAGAUUGGUAGUAACUCCUUAAUAAUUUAAGACUGGUAGUCUGAUUGUGUCUUCUCCUUCGAUGUUUAUCAGCAGAGGUUGUAUUUGUGUUUCCUUUUCCAGCUUUUAAAUCAUGGCCUUUCAAGUAAUAGUCUCUGGAAGAAAAGGGGCCUUCAAAAUGACUACAGUUGCUGGCACCAACUUUAUGUGGUCGGUCCCAAAGUAGUUUUUAAGAUUAGUGACAACUAUGAGGUAAGGAACAAAAGAAGCCAAGCCUUCCUUGGUUUAGGAGAUUUUUAUAAUACAUAUGUGAUACUUUUUUCAGAGUUUGUGAAUGUUACAAAGGAACUGUGGUUAUCAGAGCCCCAGGCAUCUGGAACACUGUAGACAAAACCAUUCUCUUAGGAUAAAAUUGACCCUGAUAUAUAUGACAGAUACAACCUUCAGUUUUUAGAGCAAGAGUAUGUAAAGAGUCUUAUUUUCUGAGCGGUCUCCUCACUGGAUCAACUUCAAAUAAUUUGUGGUACUCUUUUCUGUUUUUGCAGGGAAGACAUUCAUCCUUGUAUACAUCUGCUGGCAUGCAUGGCCUUUAGAUUUUGACAUGAGUGGUCACGGCAUAUUUGAAGAAGACUUGUUCUCUAAUAUUCUUAACUAAAGAUGGCCUCUUUUGUAAGUUAGAGGUGAGUGACGAGAGCUCUAGAUUCUGCAAGAUGCUUAUUUCUAAUGGCUGUUUUUGUUUGGUGAUAAUAGUAUCCUUCUCUGCCUAGAGCUUCCUUGAAUUUUUUUUGAGAGCUCUUAAUUGUGGGAAAUAUACUAAGAAAACUUGGGACACAGAUAUGCAUGUAAUUGCAUGUCGGAUAUAAGUCAUAUGCAAUGCCAAAGGAAGAGAGAAUUUGGUCACUGAAUUUUCUGAAAUGUCAGUGUGGAUCCUACCCAGUAGUGUUGCAACGAGGCUAAAAGUCGUAUUAGCUGCCUUUAGGACAGAAACAAACCACUCCUUUUGUGGACCAAACCACAAGGUAAAAUAACCUUGUUUAAAGAAAAAAAGUAAGAGUGUAUUGCAGAGGCCUUGGCUAGGUUUAUGAUGACACAGGACCUUGUCUGAACAUGAUGAUUUCAAAAUUUGAGCUUAAAAGGACACUCUGAAAUCCAGUCAAUGUGCCUCAAUAGACUUUUCAGAGGACAUUAUUCUUGGCAGAAAAGGUUGGCUUGACAUGUGAAAACUGAAUAGCUAGAAAUGGCAGGUGUAGUCAUACACUUUGCCAGUUCUUCAAACAUCCCUUUUUUUCUUUUCAUAGAUUUUUCUGAGCUAAUUAUUUUCUUUUUUCUUUUUUUAUAUAUACAUAUAUAUACAUAUAUGUGUGUGUAUAUAUGUGUGUGUGUGUGCCCACACACACUGUUCAAAGCAAAAAUGGGAGCUCACCCUUGGAUCUCAGAAGGCACACAGGUGGCGAGAUGGAAACAAAGACAUAUAAAAAGGAAGCUGCCACCUCUUGGAUCAAACAUUGAAUGACAGAGUUCUAGGUGUCUAAGUGAUGUCCAGAAAGAAUAUUUAUGGAACACAUAUGAAACGCAAUGAGUGUGAGAUUUGAAACAUGAUGUCAACUAGAAGGUGAUUGGCUAUCAUUCAUGGACAUGAAUGGAGCCUAAGAAAGAUGGACAAAGGAUUUCAUCCAGGAACUUAGAAUCUUUUUUUGCACAAUAGAUACUCCAAUAUAGAUGGCUGUUUUGGAGCUACCUUUCAUAUUGAAACUUCUAACUGGUCCCCUUACUUCUAGCUUCAGAUUCUCUAAUUGAUCUGUCUGCCAUAGCAGUCUUUGGGAAAGAUGACGAAACCACAUCAUGUCCUUCAUAAAUCUGCAGUUGACAUGUUUUAAAAGUGUUAGAAAUAAGCAAUAAUCAGAGAAGAGGACAAAGAUUAUAUAAACUGAUAAUAUUUAGAGCAUCUUUUGCCACUGUCAAAACUGGAAAUUUUCCAGUUCUAGUGGCUGAACAUUUGGAUUCAUAAAUUUCAGACACUCCUUUCCUCUUACCCUUUGAUCCCUAAGAAUCUCAAGAAAUUUGCACAGCAAGAUACAAUGUGAUUGCAGCCCAGGAUGAUUUUAGGGUAGUUUCGCAAACCAUUUUUCUGUUAACAUAGAUGAGCAGAUUUUUCUGGAGUAUCCUGAGCAAUGGUACUUAUGGACUGCUACGGAAGUCUACACCUCAUACGAAUUUAAGGGGUCUUUGGCCAGGGCCCUCCUGUAGAGACAUUUUCUAGAUCUUUUAAUCUGUAUUGAUUUGCCUGAUCCAACAGCAUCAGGACAGCAUCUCUCAUUCCAGGUUUCUCCCCAAGAUUCAAGUGUGUGAAGGGUAUCUACUGAAUUGAAAAUUAUUUCAGCUGGGUAAAACUUGAAGUAUUGGCUAGUCUGUACAAACUCAAGUAAACAUAAGCUAACCCUGUAGGAAUAUGUGGAUAGGAAGGGAAGGACAACAGAUCUUGAGUUUAGCUGGAAGCUUCACCAGCUUUAAAAUUACAGACAAAAUAGAGAUUUAUACUGGCCUGUACUUCAUCUUGGCUCUUGUAUAUUUUCAUUUCAUUGGCAAUCUUUGGAUUGGUGGGGUGGAGUAUUUUCCUUGCCAUGGAAUAUCAACUUGCCUUCAAAAGUUACCAGUAAAAAGCCCUAUAUAUGUUGCAUUUUUAUGCAUAUGUGAUAAACCUUAUUUUCCCCCACGGCAUUUUAAAACAACUUGAAAUCUAAUCCCAUUAACUAAUUAACUGGAUAUAUGUACCUUAUGAAUUUAUUUAAAUACUUAGAAAAAUUGUGUUUGGGUAACGGUAUUGAAAUUAAAAUACUCAGUGAAUGAUUAUGUGUGAACUGUUCAUUGAAUGUUAGGAGAUGAAGAGAAUGAAAUUCAACAUGUAAGGGUUUAUUGUAUUUUAUUCUUUCUUUGCUUAAUCUUUUGUAAUCUAAUACUCAAGUACAGAGGCCUACAUUUAUAAACAUAAAUCUAUUAUUUUUAGAUACUUUUUAAGAUGAAUGUUGUAAUAAUGCAGCUUGUUUCCUAAGGAAGUUUCUAAAAACAUGUUUGGUAAAAUUGUCUUCUGGAAAAGACUUAAGAAAGGGAUUCUGAGGACAUUUUGUAAGCUAUACACAAUUCUGUAUUGUUUAUGGAUAGCAGAAAAGAGAAGGACAUGGGAAUGUUUAAUACAUCAAUCAUAAAAGCAAAGGAAGGCACUAAUUACUGUUUAUAUGCAUUUUGAGAAUACUGUAUAUGAAAUAACCAAAUAUAAUUGCUUUGUGAUAUUUCUUAAUGUAUUGCAAAUGCUAACAAAGAGUUUGCUAAUAUAUGUAGAAGAAUUAUUUUUAAUACAUGAUUAUAGAAAUAAGGAUUGUUAGAAUAUCUCUGAAUGAUGUACGUUUGAAAUCAUUUGAUUGGAUUAUUGUGGUGGGUUUUUUGGGGGAGGGGGAUUUUUCUGUAUACAAUUGUUACCUAAGAAAUUUUAUUAAGGGUGCUCUAUCUGGUUGUAGAUGUUAUCCUGUAAAUGAUUUUUAUGUUAAAAUUUGUAUGGUAUGAGAUUGUCUUAUCAUGAUGGAAUUUUUGCACAGGAGAAGAGCCUCUAUGAACACUUGUAUGAUCAGGGUUGAGUGGGUGUUUUUAAUUGCUUUGUAUAUAGUAGAAAGACUACUGUGCUGUACCAUCCUAUCAGUCAUAGAGGUUGGUGACAUUUUGGGCACUUCAGUUACUAGAAUAUAAUGUUGGCUACUGAGAGGAAUUUCUAGACCACUUUGUAUUAAAAGUAAAUAAAAGCUGAAUUUAGGAGGUAGAGAAUUAGGGGGUUUUGGAGGGUUGUGUGUUUAUAUGCAUAUGCACAGAGACAGUUCUUAAACAGCAUACGGGCUUUACUCCAUGCUCAGAUGUUGGGCAUCUACAUAAUAUUUUAUAAAUAUUCUAAUGUUAAACACAGGUAGAAUUUUUUUCGUUUUGCCAGUGGAAUUGCCUAUCAAUAUUAAUUCAUUUCUGGUAGAAAUUGUUAAACAGUUUGUUAUAAACAAUGUUAUAAUGUUUUCUUGUUUAACCUCUGAUUUUCUUUUUUUUUUAACCUGUAAUUUUCUACAUGUAUAAACAUCAUUGUAAAUACAUACCAACCUAAUAGGAUAGAAAUAUUUUUGUUUGCCAAAAAAAAUGUUCCAUUUAGCCUCUCAUUGUGUUCAUUGGAUCACUAGACUCAGUUUUUAGAUUGUGAGAAAUACAUUGUGUAGUAUUUAGUAUAACUAUAUCAUUGUUUUAUGACAGGAUUCAUCAUGGUGAAAACGUCACUGGACUGCCUUUGUUUAUAGUUUUCAGAUAUAUUUGUGUACAAAUAGAACACAGCUCUUUGUAUAUCUUAGAGAAAGCUCCACAUGUGGUAAAAUAGCAUAGGUUAGAAAAGUUUUCAUUUGUGAGUGGAAUUUGACUUUUAAUGAAAAUAGUGAAUUGUUGUUUUAAAGUACUUAUUUCUAGUUGUAUAGGCAAUUUGUAAAUUUUUAUGGAUGAUGUUAGUGAUGGUAUAUCACACCUGAGCUCAUUAAAUAGUGGACUGACCAAAGGAAUGUUUUUGUAUUAUGUGUAUAUAAUAGACACCACUAUUAUAUGUUUUUUAGGCAUAUGAGCUAUAAUUUCUGCAUGUUUUGUAAAAUAUUAACUAUAUAGAGUGAAAAUUUUUGCUAAUUGUCAGGUUAUCUUAGCUAAUAAUUGGCCAGCUAAAGGGGUGUUUUUAUAGAUGGUUGUUAAUAAAAUAGUUAGAAUAUAUAAUAGUUUUGCUUUAAACUUUUAGUCCUUGGCUUAUAGGGAUUUCCUAACAUAUACCUAUGUAUACAUAUACACACACAUAUGAAUACAUGCACAUAUGUGUUUUAUAAAACUAGUGAUAUUAAAAGUCAUAGAAUGGAAUUAUUUUUUGGCCUAAACAAUUACCAUUUGGCCUUGAGGGCAGAUAUAGGAGGUUUUAGUUUAUGAACUUUAUUUAGUUGCUGGAGGAUACUGUGAGGCUGCUAGAUAUGUGGUAAACAAAUGUUGGUUUUGGUUUUUUUUAAAUAACAUCUGCCUAGGAUUUGCUGAGUAGGCAUAUAUUUUGUGAGUACCAAACUGAUAGACAAAGGUGAAAACACUGUUUUGGUAAAUUGAAUUGCUAAACCACGUCUAUUUGGGAUAUAUUUGGUUGCUCGGGAUUGUAUUAUUACUUUGUUUUCUGUAUUGAAGAUACAUGUUAUUUCAUGAAAUAAUUUUGGAUAUAUAAUUUUUGUCAAUUUUGGAAAUACCUUUUCACUUAAAUGUUAAAGUUGUAAUCAUUGAUCAUAGAUAUAGUAGAGUAAGCAUCUUCAUGAAUUAGGCUUGAUUUCUGAGAGUUUUUUGUUUUUAUGUUCUUGAGGUUUUGUAAUUAGACAUUCUUUGUUUAAAGUGUAGAAAUCAUUGCCAUUCAUAUUUUUAAAUACGUAAACUUGUACAGUUUUUCUUAUUCCAAUCAAAUUUUUGAGUUUUAAAUAUUGGGACAGAGAAGGGAAGCAUUUGCUGUGUGUUGAACAGACAAGCUCUUCUAUAACAACUUCCUAGGUAUUUAGGAACUCCCUCUCCAUACACACACACACACACAAUUAAUAUAUUAAUGUUGAACUAAUGGUGAAAAAUAUCUAUUACCAAUAGAAGUGUUACAUGACCCCUAUGUGUUUAUACUUGGUCUGUAUGGGAGGGGGGAAUUAUUAGGUAGUUGUGUGCAUGAGAUCAGAUGUUUGUUUUUUAUACCAUAUAAUUCAAUAGAUGUGCAGAAAUUUCUGUCAUAGUUUUGAACGUAUAUUUACCUAAAAUUAAUAGCACAUAAGCUUUUUUAUUCUUGUAGAAAUGAAAUGGUACACUAAGUCUCACUUAGCUGAGUGACAUUUAGACUUCUGUGUAUGUAAUUACAUUACAAACACAUGUUCUUUCUAGAUAUAGACAUUUCUGAUAUACAUAUAAUUUUGCCUCUAUUUGUGGGACAUGUAGGUAUAACUUAUUUUCCCAGAUGUGCUGAGGUUCAUGAUGAAAUUCAUUUUUCUAAAGAACAUUUUAUAGAAAUGUUUCUGUGUUCAUUUGUUACAUGGCAAUAACCAAGACAAAUUUGUAAAUAAGGGACAAGAGAAAUAAUUUAGUUUUAAACAUCUGGUAUUUCUAGAUGUACUGAGAGUCUCAAAAAGUAUAAUUUUGUAAAAACUUUCAUUGUAAACGUGUUAGUAUUGAUACUGUUGUCUUUUAAAAUCAACAUGGCAAUGACGUUGACAAACAGGCUCUUGGAGCUACGCAAAAUUUAUCAUAUAUUAGUUUGGUUGUUAAGAGGAAAUGUUGACAAGUUUAUGCAUUUACCCUGUUCUCAUAUAGAAGAAGAAUUUGCUAUUGGUACAUUUGUUAUAAUUCAUGAGCCCAUAUUGACAUAUCACAUCAUAAAUCACCCAAUGUCAGUAGUUUAUAUUACGGUUAACUCUUGGUGUUGUACAUUCUGUGGGUUUAGGCAAGCAUAUAAUGACAUGUAUUCAUUGUCAUCGUAUUUUAAUGGCCCUAGAAAUCCUCUUUGCUCCAACUACUCAUCCCUCCCCUUGUAUUUCCUUUUUUUUCCCUUUAUAUUCAAAUUAAUAAAUGACUUUGUCAGAGAGAUUUUAUACUACCUCCUGGAACUAUACACAGUUCUGUAUGUGUUCCCUUGGUUGCAUGACAAUAUUCAAGACAACUUUGUAAAUAGGCAGAUACGAGUUUUUAAUUUUUAUCAUCUAGACUUCCUAGAUGUAUAGAGUCUCACAAAGUAUAAUUUUGUAAAUAAUUCACUGUAAAGUUUCAUUGUUUUCUUCUUAUGUCUCAGCAGUGAAAUUGAUGGAACUGUGGAUUUCUUGAGCUGUAUACAUAUUUCGGGAUCUGUUGAGUUAGGGAAAGCAAAAGUUAAAAGGGUACUUUUUCACUUUUGCGUUCUCAUCUAAAAGAAAAUUUUACAUUUUAAUCAUUGUUUAGUGCUUGGAUUUUUAUACAUUAAAAAAGCCAAGUCAUAAUUUGUAGUUGUGUUGCUGAUAGGGCAUUACAUAUUUUAAUCAGAGGAGAUUUUAUUCUCUUUGAAUUAUACAGUUUUGUGUUUAAUUGGACUGCAUGACAACAUUCAAGACAACCUUGUAAAUAACAGUAAAUUUAUCAUUUAAAAAUUAGUUUUUCUAGAUGCAUGGAAUUUCACGAAGUACAAAUUUGUAAAUAUCUCAUUGUAAAGUAUCAUGAGGUGGCUUCUAUAAAUGUUUUAGCAGUGUAAUAGGUAACUAGUAAUUGGCCUUUUAGGGCUUUGUAACAUUUUGGUGUUUAUGUAGUGAGUUUUUGGGGAUAGGUGUACACAGAUUGUCUCCAUAUCUUCAGAUUUUUAGGUUCUCAUGUUAUAAGAAAAGAUUAGAUUGUAUACUUUUAACAAAGAAAAAUGCCCAUGGGAUUUAUUUUCAUCUUUAGGAAGAAAAAGGAAGACAUGAGAAGGGAAUUGUCAUUUUAAACCGUAGGUAUAUUGAUAGUUAUAUAACAUUGCUGAAGUAAUGGUUAUUUUGCUAUGCUAUAUAAACCUACUAUUUGCAAAUUUAUAUAUGUAUAUGCAUAUGCAUGCAUAUUAUAAAUGUAUAUACAUGUACAUAUGUAAAAUUAGUUUUAGGGGUAUAGAUAUGAUAGUGUUCUUUCUCAUUUAUUAGCUUAUUGCUUUACUUGUUUUUUUUUUUUAAUGGAAAUAGUAUUUCAAUUGUAAGCUUAAACGUGUAGAAGCCCACUUCAUGUUAUAUCUAAAUGAAUGUUAAUUUUUAUAUAAAAUGUUUAAGCAGCUGUGGAUAUGUUUUUUUAAUGUUUUCAUAUAUACAUCUGUAUGAGAACAGAAUUUCCAGGAUUAUGAAUAUUUUUCUGAGAGCUUUUGAAAAUUUUUUGGAGAGUAGUUAAUUUGUAUGUUAUAAUCAGUAACCAAUGUUAAAACUAUUCUCAGUUGCCUAUAAUGUAAAUAACGAAAAUUUCUUAGAAUCCUAUCCAGUAUUAUCAAAGUGUAAUCAGUACAUCUUUUUGAACAACAGUUUGGCAAUGACAGUCGAAAUUUGAGUGUGUAAAAUUUUGGAAAUGAUAUAAUCUGCUGAUGGGAUUUUAUGUAUUCCUACUCUCAAAUCCAUAAAGAAGAAAGUAUGUUAUAGACCAAGUAUAACAAAUAAUUUGAAUGUAUGAAAUACACAUCAUUAAAAGAAUGAUUGUAAUGAUAGCUAAUUCAUAUGAAUAUCAUUCAAACACUGGAAAAGUAUUCUGAUAUUGAAGGGUGUUUUAAGUUGAUUUUUAAAUUGUCAUUUUUGUACAAAUAUCAACUAAGUGUUUGUGCUGAGGUGUGUCCAUAUGCCUCUGGUUUUUCUGUUUGAAACAUUAAUGGUUACUGUUCCUUGGGAAUGGGAUUAUUCAGACAUGAUAAUGGAGUUAAGUAAUGCUUACUCAUUAGUGUUAACUACAAUGGUGAUUAUUUUAGCAUUCUUUUUGAAAUUUUUGUACAUGCGUAAGUUAAAUACUAAAACAUUGUUUAUAUAUUUGUGUAUUGCUACAUGGCAAUCUAAAAUGCAAAUGUGAAUUAUUGAAUAGAAAGUUGUCUGGAAAAACAUGGCAAAAUUUUAACAUUACUGUAUAAAUAGAUCAGAAAAGAAGGGACUGCUGCCACUUUCUGCCUUUAAAACUUUAAAGGUAUUUCAGAAGCAACAUUUAAACAACAGAGGAAAUUUUAAAGAUACAACCAAUUUGUGCCUGUCUUCAUCGUUACCUAUUGACAUCUCGGGAGUGUUGGGCUGUUGUAUCCAACUUUGUAUUCCCAGUGACUGUUACGAAUAGUUUUUGAGUGAUCAUGAAGAGCGUGUGACUUAGAUACUAGUGCUAGUGCGGCAGAGAGUUUUACACAGUGAAACAGAGUAUUGGACUAUCCACGGAAAGAAGGGAGAAGAUGGCAUUUGAGGUGAACAUGAUGAAAGAAAGACAUAACAUGCAGAUAACCUGAGGAUGCCUGACAUCAUCAGGAACAUUCUUCCUGUGAAGUUCCUUAAUUUGUAAAUCUCAACUGUAAACCACAGGGAGAUGAUAGUUCCAAGAAAAGACACUUUUGCCAUCUUUGUUUUUAAUAUCAAUAAUUGGUACCAUGAGACCUGUUGGCAGUAUUCCUCUUUUCAAGUGUUCAUCACUCCCAUCCAUCCCUGGGCCCAGGAGAACCCCUUGGCGAUAAUGAUUGUGUGAUGACUGAAUAGGAAAAACUGAUGCCAUUGCUUCUGCCACCAUCUUCAGUAAAACCAAAGACAGUCUUCAUAAUGUAUAGAGAUUCCUCAUUGAUGUGUUGCAAUGGACACUCCCUGUAGAUCGCAAAAACAGGCUGAGAAGGCUGAAGUUUCAAAGUGACCUAAAGGGUGAUAGUGGAGAGAACUGUAACCAGGCAUGUUGACUGUUUUCAUUGUUGCCAUUGGACUAAAUCUCAGGAGCUUGAAUGAUGGAGGCAUUAUUACACAGAGAAGCUCAGGAUGGUAUAAUUUCAAGGCUUCAUUAGAGUGCUCCCAUAAGUAUUAGGUGCACAUUUUUAAAAUUUUCAUUUAUCACAGGGAAAUUUAAAAUUGACUCAUAAAAAAUCAUCUUUUUCAAGAUUUCAAAGGACAUGGAAAUUUGUGAAGUAUAAUAUUUUACUUAAAUGCCUUUUUUCCUCUUCUAAUUCUGCUACCUCUGUCUGUGUUAUCUACUAUUAAUGAAAUUUUGUGCACAUCCUUUUGGGUGUAUUGAUAAAUUAAUAUGCAAGUUAUUUUUUGGGGAGGUCUAUAUACUAGCUACAAAUUUUCUACACAGUAAACAUGGUUUAUAUAUAAAUUGUAAAUUUAUCCAACUAAUUUGUUGAAAUAAUUCCAGUGAAUUGGAACUGCUAGGACUAGGGUAUCCAAAAUUUAUAGUUUUGAGUCCAAACUGGUUUUCCCUACUAUACAGACAAGACUUCAUCAAUCUUGUUUCCCCAGUGUUUAUGUGGGUAUAUUUCCUAAAACUGUACACAUGUUACAUUUUUAACCUUUGGUAAUAUGGUAUUACAAAGAAAUUGCUUUUCUUCUGUUACUGUUCAGCUCUGUCAUCUUCAUAUAUGCUUAAUCCUUACUAGUCAUUUGUGUUAUUUCAUUUUCUUCUGUUUUUUUUUUUCCAUUCCGUUGAUAUAUCAAUGUCUUUGUUACUGGUUUCUAAGAACUCAUUUAUUAUUCAGGAUGUUAACCAUUUGUCAUGCAGUGCAAAUGAAGUACCAUAUUUUAUUGCUAUCAAUUUACUAUGGUGUUUUGUAUUUUGGUUAUGUAUU